rnacentral:tRNA from 1 species
AUCUUUUUAGUACAAAAAGUAUAAUUAGCCUCCAACUAAUAGAUUAAAUAAAUUAAAAAGAUA